rnacentral:rRNA from 1 species
GUGCCAGCAGCCGCGGUAAUACGUAGGGUGCAAGCGUUAAUCGGAAUUACUGGGCGUAAAGCGUGCGCAGGCGGUUUUGUAAGUCUGUCGUGAAAGCCCCGGGCUCAACCUGGGAAUUGCGAUGGAGACUGCAAGGCUUGAAUCUGGCAGAGGGGGGUAGAAUUCCACGUGUAGCAGUGAAAUGCGUAGAGAUGUGGAGGAACACCGAUGGCGAAGGCAGCCCCCUGGGUCAAGAUUGACGCUCAUGCACGAAAG